rnacentral:rRNA from 1 species
UACAGAGGGGGCAAGCGUUAUUCGGAAUUACUGGGUGUAAAGGGUUCGUAGGCGGUGUGGCAAGUCGGGAGUGAAAUCUCUGGGCUCAACCCAGAGUCUGCUUCCGAAACUGCUGUGCUUGAGUGUGGGAGAGGCGCGUGGAAUUGCAGGUGUAGCGGUGAAAUGCGUAGAUAUCUGCAGGAACACCCGUGGCGAAAGCGGCGCGCUGGACCACUACUGACGCUGAGGAACGAAAGCUAGGGGAGCAAACAGG